rnacentral:rRNA from 1 species
GAUGAACGCUGGCGGCGUGCCUAAUACAUGCAAGUCGAGCGAAUGGAUUAAGAGCUUGCUCUUAUGAAGUUAGCGGCGGACGGGUGAGUAACACGUGGGUAACCUGCCCAUAAGACUGGGAUAACUCCGGGAAACCGGGGCUAAUACCGGAUAACAUUUUGAACCGCAUGGUUCGAAAUUGAAAGGCGGCUUCGGCUGUCACUUAUGGAUGGACCCGCGUCGCAUUAGCUAGUUGGUGAGGUAACGGCUCACCAAGGCAACGAUGCGUAGCCGGCCUGGGAGGGUUGGCGGCCAAACUGGGACUGAGACACGGCCCAGACUCCUACGGGAGGCAGCAGUAGGGGAUCUUCCGCAAUGGACGAAAGUCUGACGGAGCAACGCCGCGUGAGUGAUGAAGGCUUUCGGGUCGUAAAACUCUGUUGUUAGGGAAGAACAAGUGCUAGUUGAAUAAGCUGGCACCUUGACGGUACCUAACCAGAAAGCCACGGCUAACUACGUGCCAGCCGCCGCAGUAA